GAGAGUUUGAUCCUGGCUCAGAUUGAACGCUGGCGGCAGGCCUAACACAUGCAAGUCGAGCGGAUGAAGGGAGCUUGCUCCUGGAUUCAGCGGCGGACGGGUGAGUAAUGCCUAGGAAUCUGCCUGGUAGUGGGGGAUAACGUCCGGAAACGGGCGCUAAUACCGCAUACGUCCUGAGGGAGAAAGUGGGGGAUCUUCGGACCUCACGCUAUCAGAUGAGCCUAGGUCGGAUUAGCUAGUUGGUGGGGUAAAGGCCUACCAAGGCGACGAUCCGUAACUGGUCUGAGAGGAUGAUCAGUCACACUGGAACUGAGACACGGUCCAGACUCCUACGGGAGGCAGCAGUGGGGAAUAUUGGACAAUGGGCGAAAGCCUGAUCCAGCCAUGCCGCGUGUGUGAAGAAGGUCUUCGGAUUGUAAAGCACUUUAAGUUGGGAGGAAGGGCAGUAAGUUAAUACCUUGCUGUUUUGACGUUACCAA
rnacentral:rRNA from 1 species